AAUGAACGCUGGCGGCAUGCCUAACACAUGCAAGUCGAACGAAGGCUUCGGCCUUAUUUGCGCACGGUUGCGUACUGCGUGGUAAUCUGCCCCUUGGUUCGGUAUAACAGUUAGUAAUGACUGCUCAUACCGGGUGUUGUCGUAAGUCCAAAGAUUUAUCGCCGAGGGAUGAGCCCGCGUAGGAUUAGCUAGUUGGUGUGGUAAGAGCGCACCAAGGCGACGAUCCGUAGCUGGUCUGAGAGGAUGAUCAGCCACACUGGGACUGAGACACGGCGCAGACUCCUGCGGGAUGGAGCAGUGGGGAAUAGUGGAAUGUGGGCGAGAGGCUGAUGCAGCAAUGCCGCGUGAGUGAUGAAGGCCUUAGGGUUGUAAAGCUCUUUUAACCGGGAUGAUAAUGACAGUACCGGGAGAAGAAGCUCCGGCUAACUACGUG
rnacentral:rRNA from 1 species